AUUGAACGCUGGCGGCAGGCCUAACACAUGCAAGUCGAGCGAGUGGCGGACGGGUGAGUAAUGUCUGGGAAUCUGCCCGAUAGAGGGGGAUAACUACUGGAAACGGUAGCUAAUACCGCAUACCAUCGGAUGUACCCAUAUGGGAUUAGCUAGUAGGUGGGGUAACGGCUCACCUAGGCGACGAUCCCUAGCUGGUCUGAGAGGAUGAACAGCCACACUGGAACUGAGACACGGUCCAGACUCCUACGGGAGGCAGCAGUGGGGAAUAUUGCACAAUGGGCGCAAGCCUGAUGCAGCCAUGCCGCGUGUAUGAAGAAGGCCUUAGGGUUGUAAAGUACUUUCAGCGGGGAGGCGUUACUCGCAGAAGAAGCACCGGCUAACUCCGUGCCAGCAGCCGCGGUAAUUC
rnacentral:rRNA from 1 species